rnacentral:lncRNA from 1 species
UGUAUAUAUGUGUAUACACACAUACACACACACACACACACACACAAACAUCUAUAUAUAUAUAUAUAUAUAUAUAUAAUUCAGAUUGAAUUAAAAUGUUAUUACACUUGAAUCUACUUGAAUUAGUGGAUCUUAUUUAUUUUGUAUUUUCUGCUACUAACAUAUAAUUUAAUCACCUAAUUCAAAGUAAGUAAAAUGUACAAACUUCAUUUUAAAUUUGAUUUUCAAAUUGCAAAGGUGAUGCAGUUGAAACACAUGGAUUGACAAUGAAUUGUAAGUAAAACAGUCACAAACCUCCCAUCAUUUUUUUAUUUUUUACUUCUAUCUUUCCUUCCCCUGCAACAAUUUCAGCAUUAAAAAAAAUCAUACAGAAACAAAAGAUGGUAGUAAUCAAACAAAUUGACAAAUCAUAUCACACAUGUAUGUAUGAAUGAAUGUAUGUAUGUACAGAUCAUACUCAUUUUUUUGUACAAUUUGAGGUAUCCUCCCUGGUGGCUGUAGUGUACGUGAUGCAAUUAUUUUGUAAUCAGUCUAUACAUCUAUGCAUAUAAAUAUAUUCUUGCAUGUGUUGGGUGAUUGCUAUGUGUAAUGUUGUGGGAUUGCAUGCAGUGAGCCACUUUUCUUACAAUUAUGGAUAAAAUAAUAGUUUCUAUUUCAUGUGCAUGUUUUCAUGAAAGUGUGAAAAAGCAACAUGCUCUCACUAAAUUGUAGCUGAUGUUCCUUACAACUGGUGUUUUUUUCAAAUACAAAGAGCUCUUGACAUCAAUAUUCAAUCAAAUAUCAUGAUUUAUGGGUUCUUAUUUGAUACAUUUUAAGAUUUCUGGGUUUGAUAUUGCCAAUAAGUUUGUUCAACAUUAGAGGCAAACUAAGUUUCAAUGCCACCUUUCUUUGAUUUGUGACUUAGUUGUAUUUGGUGGUGUGACCACCACACUAUUUGACAUCCAUGUUGUCUACACACCAUCAUUUCAUUAUUUCAUUGCCUCCCUUGGGAUAGUAAUAAUAAUCUAGAAUAAUAGAGAAGCCAUGUUAUUUUUUUUUUAGUUGGAAUUUUAAAAACUCCAUAAUAAACACAUUUGCCUCACGAAUUCAAAUCUUUGAAUGGGUCACAAACAAUAAAGUCAUAAUCCUAGUUACAUCAAUUUAUGAAUUCUUUGAUGCUUCUAUCAUAGUUCAUAAGAUCUGAAAAUGAACCAGAAGAUAUAUAUAUAUAUAUAUAUAUAUAUAUAAUCCAUCAUUCAAUAACAUUCUGUUAUAUAUGCCUAGGCAUGUUAUAAAUCAUUUAUUUAUAGUAGAUUGUUUUUCAAAUACUGUUAUAAAAAUACAUGAUGUAUUAUUUUGGUUGUCAUGUAUACAAACUAGUUUUUUAAAUCAUUCCCUAAAUACUUCA